rnacentral:lncRNA from 1 species
CCACAUUCCUGUCUAGCUCUAGCAGGAUACAAACCAGAUAUGGUCUGUGCGCUUCGAGAAACUUACCGUCUCCUUCAGAACUGUGUGCCACAUUUCCUCCUGUAGCCCUGCAGACUCCUCUCCACACUUUUCCACAAGAAGAGGCUGAGCAGACAGCAGGCCCCUUGCGCUUUGUCUUCCAGAGUGGACCUUAUACACAGAAGAACAGCAUUAGAAGUCACUACUACAGGAUAUAGGGAACCAGCUGAGAAAAUCGAAGCACAGAGAAGUUAACCAGUCCGUUAUCACUGCACCUGGGUGGCACUGUUGGAAUAAGCACAAGUAAUCAUCACUCUCCCAGCCAGGAUUCAUAACCAGCAGAACAGGCUGCGUAUCUUCAAGAGGAACUCAUGAAGAGCCAGGAUACAAAGGAAGUCUAAUCCUGAUAAGGACAGCGAAUUGCUCACUGAGAGAAGGUGCUUAAGACAACGAAGCAACUUGGAGGAAGAGAUGAGUCGUCAGCGAAUUGCGAAUUGCGAUCAGAGCCACGUCCAUCAGCUUCUGGAUCUUCUGCACCAUUACGAGUUAAGUGUUCGCUGACCGCCUG